rnacentral:rRNA from 1 species
AUUGAACGCUGGCGGCAUGCCUUACACAUGCAAGUCGAACGGCAGCAUGGAGAGCUUGCUCUCUGAUGGCGAGUGGCGAACAGGUGAGUAAUGCAUCGGAACGUACCGUGUAAUGGGGGAUAACGUAGCGAAAGUUACGCUAAUACCGCAUACGACCUGAGGGUGAAAGCAGGGGAUCGCAAGACCUUGCGUUAUACGAGCGGCCGAUGUCAGAUUAGCUAGUUGGUGAGGUAAAGGCUCACCAAGGCGACGAUCUGUAGCGGGUCUGAGAGGAUGAUCCGCCUCACUGGGACUGAGACACGGCCCAGACUCCUACGGGAGGCAGCAGUGGGGAAUUUUGGACAAUGGGGGCAACCCUGAUCCAGCCAUGCCGCGUGAGUGAAGAAGGCCUUCGGGUUGUAAAGCUCUUUCGGCCGGGAAGAAAUCGCACAGGCUAAUACUCUGUGUGGAUGACGGUACCGGCAUAAGAAGCACCGGCUAACUACGUGCCAGCCGCCGCAGUAA